GACGAACGCUGGCGGCGUGCCUAACACAUGCAAGUCGAACGGAAAGGCCCUGCUUUCAGGGUACUCGAGUGGCGAACGGGUGAGUAACUCGCGGGUGAUUUGCCCUGCACUUCGGGAGAGGUCUCGGAAACUGGGUCUAGCACAGGACAGGUGACAUUUUUAGUGUGAUGGUUGGAAAGUUAUUUCGGUGUAGGCUGGGCUCGCGGCCUAUCAGCUGGUUAGUGGGGUAAUAGGCUACGAAGGCGGCGACGGGUCGCCGGCCCGAGAGGGUGGACGGCCACCUUGGGCCUGAGGUACGGCCCAGGCUCCUACCGGCGGCAGCAGUGGGGAAUCUUGCACAAUGGGGGCGAGCCUGAUGCGGCGACGCCGCGUGGGGGAUGCCGGCCUUCGGGUUGUAAACUCCUUUCGCUAGGGACGAAGCUUUUUGUGACGGUACCUAGAUAAGAAGCACCGGCUAACUACGUG
rnacentral:rRNA from 1 species